CAGUAGCCACGGUAAUACGAAGGGUGCAAGCGUUACUCGGAAUUACUGGGCGUAAAGCGUGCGCAGGUGGUGGUUUAAGUCCGUUGUGAAAGCCCUGGGCUCAACCUGGGAAUUGCAGUGGAUACUGGGUCACUAGAGUGUGGUAGAGGAUAGUGGAAUUUCCGGUGUAGCAGUGAAAUGCGUAGAGAUCGGAAGGAACAUCUGUGGCGAAGGCGACUAUCUGGGCCAACACUGACACUGAGGCACGAAAGCGUGGGGAGCAAACAGGAUUAGAUACCCCUGUAGUCCCUGUCUCUUAUAC
rnacentral:rRNA from 1 species